AUUGAACGCUGGCGGCAGGCCUAACACAUGCAAGUCGAGCGGAUGAAGGGAGCUUGCUCCUGGAUACAGCGGCGGACGGGUGAGUAAUGCCUAGGAAUCUGCCUGGUAGUGGGGGAUAACGUCCGGAAACGGGCGCUAAUACCACAUACGUCCUGAGGGAGAAAGUGGGGGAUCUUCGGACCUCACGCUAUCAGAUGAGCCUAGGUCGGAUUAGCUAGUUGGUGGGGUAAAGGCCUACCAAGGCGACGAUCCGUAACUGGUCUGAGAGGAUGAUCAGUCACACUGGAACGGAGACACGGUCCAGACUCCUACGGGAGGCAGCAGUGGGGAAUAUUGGACAAUGGGCGAAAGCCUGAUCCAGCCAUGCCGCGUGUGUGAAGAAGGUCUUCGGAUUGUAAAGCACUUUAAGUUGGGAGGAAGGGCAGUAAGUUAAUACCUUGCUGUUUUGACGUUACCAACAGAAUAAGCACCGGCUAACUUCGUG
rnacentral:rRNA from 1 species